GACAGAGGAGCCAAGCGUUGUCCGGACUGACUGGGCGUAAAGCGCACGCAGGCGGCGCUGCGCGUGGGGUGUGAAAGCUCUUGGCUUAACUGAGAGAGGCCAUCCCAUACGGCAGUGCUCGAGCGGUGCAGAGGUCCGCGGAAUUGCCGGUGUAGUGGUGAAAUUCGUAGAUAUUGGGAAGAACACCGGUGGCGAAGGCGGCCAUCUGGACCAUUUCUGACGCUGAGGCGCGAAAGCGUGGGGAGCAAACAGG
rnacentral:rRNA from 1 species